AUUGAACGCUGGCGGCAUGCUUUACACAUGCAAGUCGAACGGUAACAGGCCGCAAGGUGCUGACGAGUGGCGAACGGGUGAGUAAUGCAUCGGAACGUGCCCAGUCGUGGGGGAUAACGCAGCGAAAGCUGCGCUAAUACCGCAUACGAUCUAUGGAUGAAAGUGGGGGACCGUAAGGCCUCGCGCGAUUGGAGCGGCCGAUGUCAGAUGAGGUAGUUGGUGGGGUAAAGGCUCACCAAGCCAACGAUCUGUAGCUGGUCUGAGAGGACGACCAGCCACACUGGGACUGAGGCACGGCCCAGACUCCUACGGGAGGCAGCAGUGGGGAAUUUUGGACAAUGGGCGCAAGCCUGAUCCAGCAAUGCCGCGUGCAGGAAGAGGGCCUUCGGGUUGUAAACUGCUUUUGUACGGAACGAAACGGUCCUGGUUAAUACCUGGGGCUAAUGACGGUACCGUAAGAAUAAGCACCGGCUAACUACGUGCCAGCCGCCGCGGUAA
rnacentral:rRNA from 1 species